UCCUCCUCUCUCUCUCUCUCCACCCUCAGCCGCCACACUCCCAUGUCCCAUCCACUCUCCUCUCCUCUCCGGCGGUGGGUACAGGCGAUGACAGCGUGCGGCGGCGUCCUCCUCCUCUAUUGCCGCUCGCGGUGCCGGCUUACUCUCCCCCACCGCUUACCACGCCGCCUCCGUCUCCGCCGUCGCCAGGCUCGGGAGCGGCGGAUCUGCCGCCGAUAGCGCCGGCUUCCGGGCCGGCAUCCGUCUCCGCCGCUGCUGGGCACGGGAGCGGUGGAUCCGCCGCCACCAUCCACUCCCCCACCACCGCCGAUCCCCUCUCUAUGCAUGCCUCACGCCGUCGCAUACCCUCCCGAUUUCCCUCUCCAAUGAUGGAUGGUUUGGUUUGGUUUGGUUUGUCUGCUUGCGAGCAGCUUCUGGUUGCUGUGCGUGUUCGGAUGUUUCUAGUUUCUCUCCCCCAAUUUCGUGCGUUCUGGAGAUAAAUUAGCGGGAGGCUGUUUCUAGUUUUUCUCCCCCAAUUUCGUGCGUUUCUAGUUUAUUAUUUUUCGCGGAAGUCUGUUCGGAUCACCACUGGGAGCCAGGCACUUGAUGAGGUGCUUGGCGGUAACAUAGUAACAUAUAUAGUCCUCCGACUUUGUUAUGAUCAGUUGUUCCAUUAUUUUGUUCUAAUCUACUUGCAUUUUUCAAAUUUUCAAGGAGGGAUUGAAGCACUGCAUCACAGAGGCAUUUGGAGAGUUUCGGUGAGCAACCCACAUAGGCUGAUAAGCUCAUUCUGCCUCACACUUCUUCCAUGGCCACAGAAACAGCUAGCCAGAUGAAAGAAACUGUAUCUGCUGAUGCUAAAAAAGAAAAGAAGCAAACUAAGUAUAAGGAUGCUCCACCCACUGCAUUUGAUCUUUUCAAGAUGUGCCAUUGCAACAGCAAUACGAGUUUUAAUGAGCCUGUAAAGAAUGUUAUUGCUGAGAUGGAAGUUCAUUGAUAAUCCUGCACAAGAAGGGCAAGAUAUGAUUGGACUUUGUAGAUAUGGUCAGUGAUGUAGAACUUUGUUUUGCUAUCUAGGAUAUGGUGGUACUGUUAUGUUUUGCUCACCCGACUGAACCUAGUUUGGUUGUAAGAUUUGUGUUGUAUUGGAUGUUUGUCGGGUUGUGCUAUAUGGGUUGUUAUUGUGUUUGAUUGUUGGGCCUAUAUGGGCUUAGCACACUUGUUAUUUGAUACUAAUAUAAAUGAAUAUAAUAUGAUGGGCUGAAAA